GUAGUCAUAUGCUUGUCUCAAAGAUUAAGCCAUGCAUGUCUAAGUAUAAGCAAUUAUACAGCGAAACUGCGAAUGGCUCAUUAUAUAAGUUAUCGUUUAUUUGAUAGUACCCUACUACUUGGAUAACCGUGGUAAUUCUAGAGCUAAUACAUGCUAAAAAUCCCGACUUCGGAAGGGAUGUAUUUAUUAGAUUAAAAACCAAUGCCCUCCGGGGCUCCUUGGCGAUUCAUGAUAACUCCUCGAAUAGCACGGCCUUGUGCCGGCGAUGGUUCAUUCAAAUUUCUUCCCUAUCAACUUUCGACGGCUGGGUCUUGGCCAGCCGUGGUGACAACGGGUAACGGGGAAU
rnacentral:rRNA from 1 species